rnacentral:rRNA from 1 species
AUUAGCCAUGCAUGUCUCAGUGCAAGCCACACUAAGGUGAAACCGCAAAUGGCUCAUUAAAUCAGUUAUGAUUUAUUAGAUGAUACAUUAUAUUACUUGGAUAACUGUGGCAAUUCUAGAGCUAAUACAUGCAAACGGAGUUCCUGCUUUUAAUGGCAGGAACGCUUUUAUUAGAUCAAAACCAAUACGUUAGCUUCGGUUAACGAUAUCAUUGGUGACUCUGAAUAACUUUAUGAUGAUCGCACGGUCCUUGUACCAGCGACAAAUCUUUCAAAUGUCUGACUUAUCAACUGUCGAUGGUAGGCUUUACGCCUACCAUGGUUGUAACGGGUAACGGGGAAUCAGGGUUCGAUUCCGGAGAGGGAGCCUGAGAAACGGCUACCACAUCCAAGGAAGGCAGCAGGCGCGCAAAUUACCCACUCCCAGCACGGGGAGGUAGUGACGAAAAAUAACGAUACGGGACUCAUCCGAGGCCCCGUAAUCGGAAUGAGCACACUUUAAAUACUUUAACAAGUAUCCAUUGGAGGGCAAGUCUGGUGCCAGCAGCUGCGGUAAUUCCAGCUCCAAUAGCGUAUAUUAAAGUUGUUGCGGUUAAAAAGCUCGUAGUUGAAGUUGUGAAUUGCACUGUUGGUGCACCAAUUUUGGUGUUUACUUACAUGCUGCAAUUCGUCCAGUCAGUGGGAUAUGGUAUGUAACUGUUUGCUUUCGUUCUUUUUUAAAGACGGAAUGCAGCGGUUGUCAGCCUUUCUCUUUUCACCCAUUACGGUGCUCUUUACUGAGUGUCGUAGAGGGCUGACACGUUUACUUUGAACAAAUUAGAGUGCUAAAAGCAGGCAUUAUGCCUGAAUAUUGUGUGCAUGGAAUAAUAGAAUAGGACCUCGGUUCUAUUUUGUUGGUUUUCUGAACCAGAGGUAAUGAUUGAUAGGAACGGACGGGGGCAUUCGUAUUGAGACGUUAGAGGUGAAAUUCUUGG